CCUACGGGGGGCUGCAGUGGGGAAUAUUGGGCAAUGGGGGAAACCCUGACCCAGCAACGCCGCGUGAAGGAAGAAGGUUUUCGGAUUGUAAACUUCUGUCCUUGGUGAAGAGAAGAAGACGGUAGCCAAGGAGGAAGCCCCGGCUAACUACGUGCCAGCAGCCGCGGUAAUACGUAGGGGGCAAGCGUUGUCCGGAAUGAUUGGGCGUAAAGGGCGCGUAGGCGGCUUUAUAAGUCUGGAGUGAAAGUCCUCUUUUCAAGGGAGGAAUUGCUUUGGAAACUAUAGAGCUUGAGUGCAGGAGAGGUUAUCGGAAUUCCCGGUGUAGCGGUGAAAUGCGUAGAUAUCGGGAGGAACAUCGGUGGCGAAGGCGGGUAACUGGACUGCAACUGACGCUGAGGCGCGAAAGUGUGGGGAGCAAACAGGAUUAGAUACCCCAGUAGUC
rnacentral:rRNA from 1 species